GCAUCAGUAGUGUAAUGGUUGAUAUGUAGUCCCGAGCACAUAUCGGUCACGUUCGGGGUUCGAACCCCCAUUGGUGCA